CCUGCAACGGUCCCGAACGAACACAGCAACUGCUUCAGUUGGUCUGCAAAGGCCUGGGCGAGGUGUCAGUACCAUGCAGGCUUCUGUGACACCCAAAAACCCUGCACACCAUUGGCACAACAGCCCAGUCAUUGACCACAGCUGAAAAAUCCCUUUAGCCUGUUUAAAACCACCAGGCUGCUUUAAUGCAAUACAAAUCAUGCUUCAGCAGACAACAUAACACCUACACCUUCCAAAUGCUAUUAGUUAUACACCAGCUCAGACCAAAAAUGCUCUAGAUGCAAGCACAGGAGAGCAGUGCUAGCCAUCAAGCCCUGGCAGUAGCUGUGCCGUGGUACCCACGUGUGCCAUGAGAGCUGGAUUUCAGAAGUAAUUGCUGCAUGGGCCAGCGUGCUGGAUUCAUAAGUGGUGGUGCAGAGGAGUAGGGAGGCACAACAUCCUCGGGGGAGAAUUCCUUAUACAUUGUUCCAACAUCAGCACUUCAGCCCCGGGAGAGAACAGUGACUAAUCCCCAACCACUCAAUAAACUUCAUGCUAAUGGAUGCCAGGAAAAAACAUACAAUUUCUCAGAAAGGAAGAUAAUUACUGAGGGCAUGUGAAAUGCUAGAAAUGCAGGAAGCAAACAGCUGAAGGAAAACCCAGGUAGGACAUGUCAGGGUUUCACAACAAAAAUGCUGUCAACGUGCCACGGUGUGUGUCAGAAGCCUCAGUGCUCUUCAGUCUGAAGUCACUUGGAUUUUCCCUAUGGCCAGGGGCUGCAAUUUUAACUCUCUAGAUCCAUCUUUGAUGUUAUUGAAACAGAGACAUGAAUUUGAAAAGGAAAGAAGUCAUGUCAUGAAGAAAACAGGAAAAAUACACUUUCUGGGGGGGAAGGGUCACGGCAGUCUAAAUGACAGAGUACAAAAACUACACCGCUCUCCAUUUUUCCAGAAGUGUCCCAAGUACAGUGCCCUCUAGGAUUUUCCUUUGAGUUAUCCAUUUAUUUUUGAAAAGCUUUUCUGGAGAAAAUAAGCUCUCCUUAUUUCCAGGAAUAAAAACAAAACAAACCGUCCUCAGACAGCUGGCAGGACAGGCAGGGCACAGCCCAGGCUCGCUCUGGGGCUGCCCCCUCUGUCUCCAUGCCUGGCAGGUGUCUCUGAGGAGGGGAGCACACCAGCUGCUCUCAGCCGUGAUUGAAGCCAGGCACCUCAGGCAUGAGUGGUGACACACCCAGGGCUUUCUGGCGGGGACUGUCCUGUGCCCAGCACCGUUGGCAGUGCUGUGCCACCCCACUGCCUGCACAGAGAGCAUGGGCCAAGCCCAGCCCGGGCACUGGGCCCUGGAUCACAGAGCAACGCGAUGGCAACUUCUACAGGAUGGCAAAACCUACAGCGUCACUUACGCUGCUACUGACAGGAGCUGAAGCCUGCCUGUACCAUUCCUGCUACCCACAAGUGAAGUCAGAGAAAGAAUUUCUCACGAAUCCUAGUCCUUGUGUCCCGAGUUGUCCAGCUGUCCAGUGGCACAUUCCCUGCGGGCAGCUGCCAGCCCAGGCAGGGCAGGCGGGCCCUGUGCCCGCAUCUGACAUUGGGAACAGCGUCUGAGCACGGCACCCAGCACGGUGUCUUCACUCACACGUGCUGAGUUGCAGUAACUGGGGAGAAUUUUAAAUGCUUUCAUCCCACCAUUUGGUUUCCUUUUGCUGUUCAAAGCAGAGGAAGUAUUUAUCAAUAAAGAUUUUAAAAAGAA